UACGAAGGGUGCUAGCGUUAUUCGGAAUUAUUGGGCGUAAAGGGUGCGUAGGCGGCAUGCUAAGUCAACUGUUAAAACCCUCAGCCUAACUGGGGGAUCGGCGGUAGAUACUGGCGUGCUAGAGGAUGGAAGAGAGAAGUGGAAUUCUUGGAGUAGCGGUAAAAAUGCGUAGAUCUCAAAGAGGGAAACACCCGAUGGCGAAGGCAGCUUCUUUGGUC
rnacentral:rRNA from 1 species